rnacentral:rRNA from 1 species
AUUGAACGCUGGCGGAAUGCUUUACACAUGCAAGUCGAACGGCAGCACGGACUUCGGUCUGGUGGCGAGUGGCGAACGGGUGAGUAAUGUAUCGGAACGUGCCCAGUCGUGGGGGAUAACGUAGUGAAAAUUACGCUAAUACCGCAUACGAUCUAUGGAUGAAAGCGGGGGAUCGCAAGACCUCGCGCGAUUGGAGCGGCCGAUAUCAGAUUAGGUAGUUGGUGGGGUAAAGGCCCACCAAGCCAACGAUCUGUAGCUGGUCUGAGAGGACGAGCGGCCACACUGGAACUGGGACCCGGUCCAGACGCCUACGGGAGGAAGCAGUGGGGAAUUUUGGACAAUGGGGGAAGGCCUGAUCCAGCCAUUCCGCGUGCAGGAUGAAGGCCCUCGGGUUGUAAACUGCUUUUGUACAGAACGAAAAGGUUUCUACUAAUACUAGGAGCUCAUGACGGUACUGUAAGAAUAAGCACCGGCUAACUACGUGCCAGCAGCCGCCGUAA